rnacentral:rRNA from 1 species
CAGAGGGGGCAAGCGUUGUUCGGAAUUACUGGGCGUAAAGGGCGCGUAGGCGGCCUGCUAAGUCGAACGUGAAAUCCCUGGGCUCAACCCAGGAACUGCGUCCGAUACUGGUUGGCUUGAAUCCGGGAGAGGGAUGCGGAAUCCCAGGUGUAGCGGUGAAAUGCGUAGAUAUCUGGAGGAACACCGGUGGCGAAGGCGGCAUCCUGGACCGGCAUUGACGCUGAGGCGCGAAAGCCAGGGGAGCAAACGGGAUUAGAUACCCCGGUAGUCCUGGCCCUAAACGAUGAAUGCUUGGUGUGGCGGGUAUCGAUCCCUGCCGUGCCGAAGCUAACGCAUUAAGCAUUCCGCCUGGGGAGUACGGUCGCAAGGCUG